rnacentral:piRNA from 1 species
UAUAUAAAUGGAAGGUGUGACCCAGAA